GUGGAUUAGAUACCCUGGUAGUCCACGCCGUAAACGAUGAUCACUCGCUGUUAGCGAUACACAGUUAGCGGCUAAGCAAAAGCAUUAAGUGAUCCACCUGGGGAGUACGGCCGCAAGGCUGAAACUCAAAGGAAUUGACGGGGGCCCGCACAAGCGGAGGAACAUGUGGUUUAAUUCGAUGAUACGCGAGGAACCUUACCUGGGCUUAAAUGUAGAGUGCAUUCCGCCGAAAGGUGGAUUUCCUUCGGGACUCUUUACAAGGUGCUGCACCGUCGUCGUCAACU
rnacentral:rRNA from 1 species